rnacentral:rRNA from 1 species
AUUGAACGCUGGCGGCAGGCUUAACACAUGCAAGUCGAGCGGGGUGAUGGUGCUUGCACUAUCACUUAGCGGCGGACGGGUGAGUAAUGCUUAGGAAUCUGCCUAUUAGUGGGGGACAACAUCUCGAAAGGGAUGCUAAUACCGCAUACGUCCUACGGGAGAAAGCAGGGGAUCACUUGUGACCUUGCGCUAAUAGAUGAGCCUAAGUCGGAGUAGCUAGUUGGUGGGGUAAAGGCCUACCAAGGCGACGAUCUGUAGCGGGUUUGAGAGGAUGAGCAGCCACACUGAGACUGAGACACGGACCAGACUCCUACGGGAGGCAGGAGUGGGGAAUAUUGGACAAUGGGGGGAACCCUGAUCCAGCCAUGCCGCGUGUGUGAAGAAGGCCUUAUGGUUGUAAAGCACUUUAAGCGAGGAGGAGGCUCUUUUGGUUAAUACCCAAGAUGAGUGGACGUUACUCGCAGAAUAAGCACCGGCUAACUCUGUGCCAGCAGCCGCCGUAA